GAGGGAGUAGCUUCUCUUUGAAUUAAGAUUACACUCUUCUCAACUAUCACUGGGUUAGCAGCUAAGGGAAUGCCAUCUCCCUGAAGAGAGAUCCUGUUUCUUCUCUUAAGCUGUCACUUGUUGGAAGAGUUUCUAUUCAUUGAACUUACUGAAUCAAAUUUAUAAAAGAUUAGUCUGAAAAUACAAAGAAUUUUGGAAAGCACCAGUGAGAUUGGUAAUUUGUUAGUUGCGGUGGCAUCCUUUUAUUCUACGUACAAGAAGUACUAUGAGGUGGAAUGAACACAGUGAAGAGUGCAAUAUUGAGGAGAAGUUUCUGCAUGGGUAAGUUGAGUCUGAAAGUUCCUAACAAAUGGGUUUUCAGUACCUCUCUGAAGAAUUCUAAGGCUGAUUCAAGGAUUUUGAGGUAAAAAUUAUUUCUAUAUGAUUCUCUCAAAUGAACUGCCGGAACUAUGAAUAACAUGGCUGCUUUUAUUUGACUAUCUAAAAAUGAAUAGGGAUGAUGGCCUGAAAUGGACAAGGAAGAUUAUGGAGAUAUUAAUGAGGAGCAGCUAUGGACCUCAUGUUUUUGUGUGGUUAACAAAUAUAGAAAAUAUAAGCAAAAAGCAGCUGAAAGACUGAGGCUAUGAGAGAGAGAGCAAGCUAGAAAGAACUUGAGUGGGAAGGGAAAUAAACUAUUACGAAGGGAUGUGGAUACUAGCACUGGAGAGCAGCUGGAGCACCCAGAGGAUGUAGACAGAGGAUGUUGCAGGGCUAGCAGCAAGGAAGCCUAAGUGUACUGAAAACACAAGGAGCCAAUGUAUUUGUGACUAGUUUGGGACAUGUCUGCAAGCAAGUGGAAGAAUGGGAAAUAAUUUAUGCUGUGAAUAGACAUUUGUGCUCUGUGUUCUGUCACACAACCAUUACAAUUUUACUUACCCUUUCGUUUACAGAUAAAUGCCUAUGUUUUUUAAGGUAAACAGCUGUUAUGGCAAGUCUUUGCAAAUGAUUUGCAUCGCUGAAUACACUGUCAGUGAUCAGAGAGAAAUGGCCUAAGCCUCUACAUUUCUUUAGUUGGCACUUUCAGUAUUUUUAGCUACUUUAUGAAUAUUAAUAUGCAAUAAUUGUGUUUCCAGAGUUAAUAUAGAUACUUCUGUGACGAGAGAACUUACUUAUAAUGCUUCAUAGAUGAGUUCAAUAUAUUGGAUAUUUUCAUUAGUGUCUUUAGGAUGUAACUUAUAGGCAGUAAAUUAUUAAAUCUGGAAUAAUACAGUGGCAGAAUAAUAAGAUGCUGCUAGAUGGCUUUUUGGAUUAAAAUAUCUCUUUCUGUGUAUUGCAUAAUAUGUACAAAAACAGAAACCAGUAUCUGGUUUAUUUAGACAGAAAGCAGCUUCUCACAGCUUUGUACUAAAUUAUUCUUUUCUAAAAUAUAAAGACAGUGGUUGGAAGGUCUAUAAAGUGUCAAAACUACUACUAUUUUAUUUUCUUGAAAGAAUUUAUUGAUUGAAUGUAGAAAUGUUCUUUUGUUCUUGUGGCUUGUUUGUGACAUUUAAGAGGAAGAUAUUUUUUUCCCAUUAUUAUUCAAAUGAUAAUAACAUUUCCAUGUCUAUCUCUGAGCCCAAUCUAUGAAUUUGCAAAAGGUAAAAAUUAGAAGAAAAAGUUUUCUGAAGAAACUGUUGUAUAUUAUUCUAUAGUCUGACAAUGAUAUGGAUGUAUUACUAGUAUUGUUGCUUUACAGUAAAAGUAGUCGUUAUUUAAAUCAGGGUUUAUACCAUUCAGUCCUUCCUAGAGCAUUUCCUUAGACUGUCUUAAAGGGCAUAUUUUAGACAUGACCACAGAUUAAAGACGGUAGGGCUGGAGAGAUGUCAGUAGUAUGAAAUUACCAUAAAUAUGUUGGAGUUCAGUGCGGAUGUGUGAGUCAAGAUGAUUAGCUUCUUUCAUUUACACUGAGUUUCUAAGUAAAUAUGUGCUUUCUUUCUAGGUCUUGAUUUUUAUUUUUAACUUUUAGAAAAAGUGCUAUUUUUCUUUCACUUGAAUGUUUCAACUUUUGGA